AUUGACUUGGAAACCUUCAGUUUCAAAGAAGGUAAAGGUAUCAGAUGAGUUCAUAUGCAACAGAUGGGUUUUCUGGAAAAAGCCUCAGAUUUAUAAACUUUCAGAAAAAUUUUGCAUGGCUCGCUGGGGAAGAAGUACCUUUGUUGUGAACGUUUGCUGGCCCCGCCGAAGCUGAUGCUACUUUGGGAAUUCACUUCAGCUGAGAUUAGGACUUUGUUUAUAGACUGCUGUGGGCCUUGAAGAUGAAGACAUCAAUCAUUAAAGCUGUGUCAGUAUCUCAGCAAUGAAUUGAUGUUCUUUUUGGCUAAAGUUCAAUAUUCUUGAAAUGAAAAUCCUUGAUUUACAUUUCUCAACUAUUCUUGUGGGGGUAUUAAGCUGGUGUCUUGCUACUGUUUGUGGAACCACCAAAGAAACAAGCACAAAGGAAAAAAAAUGCCAUCCAAGCAACAACCCACGAAAAAUAUUGAUGUAAGUUUGGUGGCUGCUGUUGAAUGUGCUUGUCCUUCCCUCAUGCAGCCACAGAACAUAUUGGCAUUGCAGGAAGGCUGUCUGACAGCUUCCUUUCAAAGCAUUGCCAAACCUGCUUCGUGGAUUAGUCAACAACUGCUUCCUGAACUGUGCUUGCACCUGUUUCCUCUUCUUCUGGAAUGAACAGUUUUAUCUGAAAAGCAUUGACAAAGGCCAAAGUUGCACCCCCAGCCUGGCCUACUGAUAUAAAGGAAAUCACAUUUUCUUGGUGUUUGUAGAAUGAAAGUAGCAGCUGUUACCAUGGGAAUAGUCAAUUUAUGAAAGACGUUUUGAGGAGGCUGAACAUUACCAUUAAUCGAAGUGAUUGCAGUCAAGACAAAAGGUGAUGAUCUGCUGACAGAAUAAAUAAAUUGUAGAAAGUGCCAAGACUGUUCAGGCAUUUGCUGUAGUAUCACUCCCACAGGAGGAACCUUCAUCACAGUCUUUCUUCAAGUAUGUUCUCUCCUCUGUGUCAAGACACACAGAACAAAGCUCUGAUCAAGGAGUUAAGAACUGCAGGAACUAAACCUUGGGUCAUCAUAAGACAGUUUUUGAAGACUGCCUUACCAGACAAAUACUCUAUUUUUGUACUCCAUUUUGGAUUACUGUUUCCCAGAGGAGGAAAAAAUAAAAGGAAAUCCAGCGCAGAACAUCUUGAAGGACAAAGUGGGAAGGCAUCGUCUCCUUGGCACACACUGUUUGACUUUGCUGGCAGAAACUAG
rnacentral:lncRNA from 1 species